rnacentral:rRNA from 1 species
AUUGAACGCUGGCGGCAGGCCUAACACAUGCAAGUCGAACGAGUGGCGGACGGGUGAGUAAUGUCUGGGAAACUGCCUGAUGGAGGGGGAUAACUACUGGAAACGGUAGCUAAUACCGCAUACCAUCGGAUGUGCCCAGAUGGGAUUAGCUGGUAGGUGGGGUAAUGGCUCACCUAGGCGACGAUCCCUAGCUGGUCUGAGAGGCUGACCAGCCACACUGGAACGGAGACACGGCCCAGACUCCGACGGGAGGCAGCAUUGGGGAAUAUGGCACAAUGGGCGCAAGCCUGAUGCAGCCAUGCCGCGUGUACGAAGAAGGCCUUCGGGUUGUAAAGUACUUGCAGCGGGGAGGCGUUACUCGCAGAAGAAGCACCGGCUAACUCCGUGCCAGCAGCCGCGGUAAUUC